rnacentral:rRNA from 1 species
UACGUAGGGUGCGAGCGUUAAUCGGAAUUACUGGGCGUAAAGCGUGCGCAGGCGGUGAUGUAAGACAGAUGUGAAAUCCCCGGGCUCAACCUGGGAACUGCAUUUGUGACUGCAUCGCUGGAGUGCGGCAGAGGGGGAUGGAAUUCCGCGUGUAGCAGUGAAAUGCGUAGAUAUGCGGAGGAACACCGAUGGCGAAGGCAAUCCCCUGGGCCUGCACUGACGCUCGAUGCACGAAAGCGUGGGGAGCAAACAGGA